rnacentral:rRNA from 1 species
AUCGAACGCUGGCGGCAGGCCUAACACAUGCAAGUCGAACGGAUCCUUCGGGAUUGGUGGCGGACGGGGGGGUAACAGGGGGGGACGUGCCCUUUAGUUCGCAACAACUCAGGGGAACACGUGCGAAUACGGGAGCUGCUACUCCAGGGAAAGAUUGAUCGCGAUUGGAGCGGCCCGCGACUGAUCGGUUAGUGAGGGAGGUAACGGGCCACCAAUGCUACGAGCAGUAACUGGUCACAGAGGCUGGUCAGCCACACUGGGGGUGAGACACGGCCCAGAAUCUUGCGGGAGGCAGCAGUGGGGAAUCUUGCGAAAUGGGCUGAGUGCUGACGCAGCCAUGCCGGGUGAAUGAUGAAGGUUGUAGGAUUGUAAAAUUAUUUAAGCGGGUGCUAUAUUGACGUUACCAGCAGAAGAAGCACCGGCUAACUUCGUG